GAAGGAGCCUUGGAGAUUUUAUAUUUCAUGAGAAAUGCCUAUCCACAUUUUCAUAAGAAGCUCGAGCCUAAAAUUCAGAACUUGACUACAACUGAGGGUCAAUUGUUUGCUUUAUUUCCCAAUUACUUGGCCGUUUUUGUAGAGCUCACACAUGCAAUCGAUGAAAUAGCAGAGAUUUAUACAAAAUCUACAUUUGAGUUCAUUGAUGCAAAAGACAAGAAGAUGU